rnacentral:tmRNA from 2 species
GGGGCUGACCGGCUUUGACAGUAAGGUAGUCGGUAAGUAAGCAUGCCGAGCUUUUGUUGCAUUGGCUCGUAAAUCUCAGUGCCUCAGCCAUAACUGGCAACACUUCUUACAGAAUGGCAGCCUAAUCGGGAUGAUUAGUCUCCAUUAAUCUCCCGCAAUGUGCUUUCGCCCAAUAGGCGCGGCGGUCGAGGUUUCAUCAAACAUUGGGAUAGUGCGCGCAGGUACCUCGAUGCGUGUGCGAAAUUGAUCGGGGGUAAGGAAUCGGUUGGUUAGUGGCGUUCCUGCCGGUUCACCAAAAUUAAUACGACACUAAGCAUGUAGAAAGCUUAUUGGAGCUUUAACUGGACGAGGGUUCGAAUCCCUCCAGCUCCACUU